rnacentral:rRNA from 1 species
UUAUUGCUAAUUGAAUAGCACUACCUUCACCAGAGACAUCCUGAUUAAAACCAUCUUCUUCGUCACCAAUUAAAUUUCUAAUAGAUUUAGAACGUAAUGUUGGUGCUGAAUUUGCAGAACCUAAAGCAAGGUAACCACCAGGAAAGUAUUUGCGCAGUUUAGUUGAUGCCAAAUGCUUAGGGCGUUUAUCCCCAAGUUUAUCAUCAACCUUUUUACACAUCAUAAUAGAUGGUUCAAGCUUCUGUUCUGAAUAUUCAGUUACGGAUUCUUUUGUUGGUUGUAUAUAUAAUGUAGGUCCUAAGGCUUGGUCU